rnacentral:rRNA from 1 species
AUUGAACGCUGGCGGCAGGCCUAACACAUGCAAGUCGAGCGGACGAAGGGAGCUUGCUCCUGGAUUCAGCGGCGGACGGGUGAGUAAUGCCUAGGAAUCUGCCUGGUAGUGGGGGAUAACGUCCGAAAACGGGCGCUAAUACCGCAUACGUCGUGAGGGAGACAGUGGGGGAUCUUCGGACCUCACGCUAUCAGAUGAGCCUAGGUCGGAUUAGCUAGUUUGUGGGGUAAAGGCCUACCAAGGCGACGAUCCGUAACUGGCCUGAGAGGAUGAUCACUCACACUGGAUCUGAGACACGGUCCACACUCUUGCGGUGGGCCGCAGUCGGGACUAUUGCGCGAUGGGGGAGAGCCUAAUCCAGCCCUGCGGCGUGUGUGAUGAAGGUCUUCUGAUUGUUAAGCACUUUAGGUUGGGAGGAAGGGCAGUAAGUUAAUACCUUGCUGUUUUGACGUUACCAACAGAAUAAGCACCGGCUAACUUCGUG